UUGAUCCUGCCGGACCCGACUGCUAUCAGAGUGGGACUAAGCCAUACGAGUCAACGCAGCAAUGCGUGGCAUACGGCUCAGUAACACGUAGUCAACAUGCCCAGGGGACGUGGAUAACCUCGGGAAACUGAGGAUAAACCGCGAUAGGCCAAGGUUUCUGGAAUGGACACUGGCUGAAACCUAUAUGGCCCCUGGAUUGGACUGCGGCCGAUCAGGCUGUUGGUGAGGUAAUGGCCCACCAAACCUGUAACCGGUACGGGCUUUGAGAGAAGGAGCCCGGAGAUGGGCACUGAGACAAGGGCCCAGGCCCUAUGGGGCGCAGCAGGCGCGAAAAUUCUGCAAUAGGCGAAAGCUUGACAGAGUUACUCUGAGUGAUGCCCGCUAAGGGCAUCUUUUGGCACCUCUAAAAAUGGUGCAGAAUAAGGGGUGGGCAAGUCUGGUGUCAGCCGCCGCGGUAAUACCAGCACCCCGAGUGGUCGGGACGAUUAUUGGGCCUAAAGCAUCCGUAGCUUGUUCUGCAAGUCUUCCGUUAAAUCCACCUGCUCAACAGAUGGGCUGCGGGAGAUACUACAGGGCUAGGAGGCGGGAGAGGCGAGCGGUACUCAGUGGGUAGGGGUAAAAUCCUCUGAUCCACUGAAGACCACCAGUGGCGAAGGCGGCUUGCCAGAACGCGCUCGACGGUGAGGGAUGAGAGCUGGGGGAGCAAACCGGAUUAGAUACC
rnacentral:rRNA from 1 species